rnacentral:rRNA from 1 species
UUCCAACGGGGCGCAGCAGUGAGGAAUAUUGGUCAAUGGUCGGGAGACUGAACCAGCCAAGCCGCGUGAGGGAUGAAGGUACAGAGUAUCGUAAACCUCUUUUGUCAGGGAACAAAGGCGGGGACGUGUCCCCGGAUGAGUGUACCUGAAGAAAAAGCAUCGGCUAACUCCGUGCCAGCAGCCGCGGUAAUACGGAGGAUGCGAGCGUUAUCCGGAUUUAUUGGGUUUAAAGGUGGCGUAGUCGGUCCGUUACGUCAGCGGUAAAAUUGCGGGUCUCAACCCC